AACGAACGCUGGCGGCAUGCCUAACACAUGCAAGUCGAACGAGACCUUCGGGUCUAGUGGCGCACGGGUGCGUAACGCGUGGGAAUCUGCCCUGGGGUGCGGAAUAACUCGGAGAAAUCCGUGCUAAUACCGCAUAAUGUCUUCGGACCAAAGAUUUAUCGCCCUGGGAUGAGCCCGCGUAGGAUUAGCUAGUUGGUGGGGUAAAGGCCCUACCAAGGCGACGAUCCUUAGCUGGUCUGAGAGGAUGAUCAGCCACACUGGGACUGAGACACGGCCCAGACUCCUACGGGAGGCAGCAGUGGGGAAUAUUGGACCAAUGGGCGAAAGCCUGAUCCAGCAAUGCCGCGUGAGUGAUGAAGGCCCUAGGGUUGUAAAGCUCUUUUACCCGGGAUGAUAAUGACAGUACCGGGAGAAUAAGCUCCGGCUAACUCCGUGCCAGCAGCCGCGGU
rnacentral:rRNA from 1 species